CAGCCUCGGGGAUGCACCUGCGGUGGGUGGGGGGCACGGAGCGGCCUCCUUAAAGCCGAAUAACCACGCCCCUGCUUUUCCAGUGACCUCCCCGGGUGGACGCCCCCAGGGCACGGACCCAGGCCUCCCACCCUCCGCGUCCCCCCACCUGCAGCAGACACGCCCUCACUUCAGACCGACUGCAACCGCAUCUCCUCCAGCCAGCGAGCCGGAACGGGGAGCGCAGGCGUCAGGGGAUUCCGGAAAGUUCCAAAGACAGUCGUGAUCCUCUUUGGAUUGCGAUUCCCUGGGGGAAACCGCUUCCGACGCUCCCGCCCGAGAGAGGCUAGGGCGCUUUACUGAGAAAAUCGGGGGCAGGCGAUCAUGGUCACCAUGUACCUCAGUGGCUGCCGAUUUGUGAUCCUUCACAUCCUGGCCACAAAGUUAAGCAAGAGAAGAAUCUGAGACCCGAAAUGACACCUAGGGGCCUAUGGGAAUGAGUAUCUGAACAAGAAGUCUACUAAACUUCCAGGCUGCCAGCAUGUAAGAAAGCAACUUUGAUCGGGAAUUCCUGCUGCUUAAAUCACGCUCCUUAAACUUGGCCGAAGCCGUAGGAACAGUCUUUUCCGGGGAACUCAGCCAUGUGCUUAGCAUGCGUUUAGGAGCUUCACUGUGUUCACUCAUUUUGUAGCUGAAGAGAUGUGCUCCAAGAAGUAGCGUGUGCUUGGCUUCAGCUGCUUGGGAGACGGAGGCAGAAGGAUUGCAAAUUCGAAGCCGGUCUAGACAACUUGGUGAGCCUGUGUGCCCCCACCCCGGCCUGCCACCGACACCCCAGACUUGAGAGUAGAGUUGGGAAUAUAAUCAAGAGUGCUUGUGUAGUACGAACCAGACUCCAGGGCCAGUCCCCAGGAAACCAUAAAAGGCAGCAGUAAGUGACUUGCUCCAGGACCCCUUGCCAACAGGGGAAAAGCAAGAACUCAAACUGGACAGUUUUCUGUUUUCAUAGCCUAUGAAAAUACAAUGCCUAGCAUCUCCA